UAACGUGCCUGGUCUAAUCGUGUUGUGUACGUGAGUGGCGUGUAACUAGUGAUACAGCACGCAAGGACAGUCAUUAACGUGCGCGAUCCGCCGCAAAUCAGCCACGAUGCAUUGCAACGGGCACGUUCAGUGGGCUGCGCGGACGUUGCGACGAGCUGCAUUGCUGAUUCUUCGCUUGCCUGAGACUCGCAAUUGUCGAGCGUGUUGCAUCCGUUGUUACGUUGCCCGAAGACCGCAGUAAAUGUGAUUUGCAGGGUGCAAGCAACGUGUCAUUGUGGUUAGAAAAAAUGAAUCAGUAUACAUGUGAUUUAACUGUCAAAGCCGGAAUGUUUAAAGCAUACAUCCCGCCCAAGGCAUGC